rnacentral:rRNA from 1 species
UACGUAGGGACCGAGCGUUGUCCGGAAUCAUUGGGCGUAAAGAGCGUGUAGGCGGCCACUUAAGUCCUGCGUGAAAUCUUGCGGCUCAACCGCAAGCGGUCGUGGGAAACUGGGUGGCUAGAGUGCGGGAGAGGAGAGUGGAAUUCCUGGUGUAGCGGUGGAAUGCGCAGAUAUCAGGAAGAACACCAGUGGCGAAGGCGGCCCUCUGGGCCGGGGCCUGACGCUGAGACGCGAGGGCGUGGGGGGAGGCGAACGGGGG